GGAGGAGUUCCCGAGUGGCCAAAGGGGACAGACUGUAAAUCUGCUGCUUCUUGCUUCGGUGGUUCGAAUCCACCCUCCUCCACCA
rnacentral:tRNA from 5 species